GACGAACGCUGGCGGCGUGCUUAACACAUGCAAGUCGAACGGAAAGGCCCUGCUUUUGUGGGGUGCUCGAGUGGCGAACGGGUGAGUAACACGUGAGUAACCUGCCCUUGACUUUGGGAUAACUUCAGGAAACUGGGGCUAAUACCGGAUAGGAGCUCCUGCUGCAUGGUGGGGGUUGGAAAGUUUCGGCGGUUGGGGAUGGACUCGCGGCUUAUCAGCUUGUUGGUGGGGUAGUGGCUUACCAAGGCUUUGACGGGUAGCCGGCCUGAGAGGGUGACCGGCCAAAUUGGAACGGGGAGCCGGCCCAGACCCCUACGGGGGGCAGCAGGGGGGAAUAUUGCACAAGGGGCGGAAGCCGGAUGCAGAAACCCCGGGGGGGGGAUGACGGCCUUGGGGUUGUAAACCGCUUUCGCCUGUGACGAAGCGGGAGGGACGGUAAUGGGUAAAGAAGCACCGGCUAACUACGU
rnacentral:rRNA from 1 species